CUGGGGGGGAUAUUGAGUCCUCAUUUCUCAUAUCUCCCUGGGAAGGAAGGGAACUUCCCUAGGAAUAAAAAGUAGAAAGCACACUCCUAGUUUUUUUCCACCCCUUCACUUACAACUCUCCUGAAAACAAGGAAUGCCUUUGCUUAUUGGUUACUCUGAAGCCAGGCUCACUUGGCUCAGCCCUUUCCUCUCAUUUUCAGAGCCAGCUGGUUUGUAGGAGCUAACACAUGUCCUGUUAGAGGAGCUCCUUCGUGUCCUGUUAUACGAACAGCCUCUGCCUCCAUGGGGAAGGUCUCCAGUUGUCCAGCUACGCCAGUGACAAGAAGCAGCAGAUCAAAAUGGCUUAACAAAACAAAGAAUAUCUGAGGCCCUUCAAAGGAGCUAUUUUAGAGCCAUUCCAUUUCAAGAUCUUCAUCUGUGGAACAGCAACUUUGCAGUAUGUCAUGGAGAACAAGGGAUGACUGCACUACAGAAUUUUUAAUAUUUCACAUGAGCAAACACUGCAAAGAAGGAAUGAGAAAGAAACGAUGCUAAAUAUAUCUUUUUAAAAUGUCUGCCACUAAGAGUCCAGCACCAGCAGGUGGAGCCUCAUAACCACAUUUUUGUCAUCCCUUUCCUUUUUCUCUCCCUCAGUCAUGCAAUAUUAUUGCACGUGAAGAAAGACACUAAAUGGCCUUUGAGGCUCAGUUUUCCACCAUUCCAGUGGCUAGGCAAUGUGCUGGCCCAACAUAUCUGAGUCAUCUCAACAAGGAUAGGCUGAUACCAGCUGCUGAGGUCUGGAGGUGCCCCCUUCUGACAAAGCCACUUCCCUGGCCAGAGUUUCCACUAAUGCACAGAUACUUGGAUGCUCCCUGUGACAUUACUGGAGUGAAGUCACUAUUAACUAUGAUACUAGCCAUGCUGAGUCCGGUUCAGCCAGCUCCAGCCUAAGCGUACUCUCUGUGGGAUAAUGAAAGUUUGGAGAUUAUGCAUGCUCUGCUACUUGCUUGUUAGUGAGUUUAAAGCCAAUAUAUCCUACUAGAUAUUGCCCUACGUGGUAAUAGUAGUAUGUACAUCAUGCCCUCCUUGAAUAAUAGAGAGCCUAUUAUGAAACAAGCAGUAUAGACAAAUGUUCCUAUACUUAUAUGUUUAAAAAAAUGCAAAAACCAUGAUUACUUUUGCACAACCUAAUAAUUAAUAGCAAAGAUUAGAAAGAAUCUAACUUCCUAUCAAACGAGGCCCAAUUUUAACGUACGGCACUGGUAUACAGAGUUUACAUAUAAAUCUUUAGGACACACAAGAAAUUGGUGAUAUGGGUUGCCUCCAGGGAAGGAAAAUGGAUCGAUGAGUAAAGGAAUGAAAGGGAGCUUUCUUCUUUCAUGACUUUUGAAGUUAGUAGCUAUUUAAACUGCAUCAUCUAUUUAAAAAGAAAAUAAAGAUUUAAAAUUUUUAGAAAAAAAUUCACCCCAUCACUUGUCACGGCACCCCGUUUUAACUCUUUGAAUAACACUUACUACAUAUUUUCUUACACUCUCAUUAAUUUGUUUAUUCUGUCUUUCCCCAUAACUGAAUAAAGAACACUCACUCCAUGAAGUAGAGAUUUUGUCUCUAUUGUUCACCCUGUAGCACCCAGCACUUAAACAGGAUUUAGCACCUAGCAGCCACUCAAUAACCAUUUGUCGAAUAAACCUAAAUCGACUUUGCUGUCUUACCUCCUAAACCUCCCCUCCUCCAGAAUUCUGAGUUUGGUGGCCUUCUUCAACGUUUUCAUUAACACCUAGCAUGGACCUCUAUCUCUAGAGUUCUCACAUGGUAUUAUAAUUGCCUGUUUGUGUUGGGCUUCGGCCAGAAAACUGUCAUCUAUUUAAGGGCACAGACUUGGUGCCUGACAUACAACUGACAAUAAAUAUUCAAUGAAAUCUAUCAAAAUAACAGGCUGACGCUACCAGAGGUCCAGGAGUCGCAGGGAUUGCUCAAAUAAGAGCACAGGAAGACUCAGCUGCGCAAGGGAUCAGAUCAUCAGCACUGCCUUUGCAUCGAUGCAAUCAGACCGAUUGUCACCGGUCAGAAAAGCCCCAGAAGCGCCACACUAACACGCCCCAUGUUGCAACCGUCCUCUCCAACCCCAAAGAAAACAGAAGAUUGACACAGGCACCACGUGAGCGCCCGAACCAAACACAAACACAUGCACCCUAAACACUGAGAGAACCACCCAACGCAGACACCCUACUGCCCACACUGCACCAAGGGCGCCUCUGGGAUCCAUCCCCUUUCCCUAGGUUCUCAGCCCUAGCUGGCAAGGCGGAUAGAGAAGACCGGAAGAGGCUGAAAAGAGGAAGCGGUGAUUUGCUGCCCGUAUGCCCGCCAGUAAGAAGUGCCACACACCUCCGCUUCGGCUCAGGCCGGAUUCUCACCAUGCGUGUGCCUUCUUCUUUGCCAGCCUCUCCACUCUAGCACCAGAACACCGCAGCGGAUACUUGCACGCCAUCUCCCCUGGGCGCGGCCAUGUUGGAGAAAACUGCACUACAUUUCCCAUGAGCCCGCGGGACAACGAACAGCGCUCCCACAGUCCUCUUCGCCUCCCAGAGCCCGGGAGUGACCCUUUUUCGACCAAGUGUCUUUGUAAAGUGCUGUCUGUUACACUGAAAAUUCAGUUGUCUUUUUGGGGGGAGUAGUAAUAAUUGGUAGUGCAGCUAUAUUUUUAUCUGUUGCUCUCCAAAUGGACAAGGUCAAACAGGUUUGGGCCCUUUGGUCUUUCAGCAAUGUCCCCUGGCACCUUCUAUUCUUCGUGCAUAUUUCCUCCUGAAUCUUAUUAGAGGUGAGAAAGGAAAAUAAAUCUUGGUGCCACAAAAUCACUAAGCUAAAGGGAAAAGUCAAGCUAGGAACUGCUUGGGCAAACCUGCCUCCCAUUCUAUUCAAAGUCAUCCCUCUGAGUCAUCCCUCUGCUCACUGAGAUAAAUGCAUAUCUGAUUGCCUCCUUUGGAAAGGCUCAUCAGAAACUCAAAAGAAUGCAACCAUUUGUCUCUCAGCUGUAAUACGUGCGACCUGGAAGCCCCCUCCUCACUUUGAGUUGGCCCGCCUCUGCUUCAAUUUGUCCCUCCUUUCUGGACGGAACCAAUGUUCAUCUUACAUAUAUUGAUUGAUGCCUCAUGUCUCCCUAAAAUGUAUAAAACCAAGCUGUGCCCCGACCACCCUGGACACAUAUCAUCAGGACCUCCUGAGGCUGUGUCACGGGCGGGCGUCCUUAACUUUGGCAAAAUAAAUUUCCUAAAUUGUCUGAGACCUGUCUCAGAUAUUCAGGGUUCACAGAGAUAUGGGAGAGGAUCCUGGGGUCUGAAAGAUGGCAUUGCAUGGGCGGGAGGGAAGGAAGUGAAUAUGCAUGAAUGUGCCAGGGGAAUGGUGAGUACCACAGAGUAAUAGAAAGAUGUGUGGAAGAAUGGUGAAGGAAGCAAGACAGAAUUCUGUAGGCCUGCAGAGUGGGAGUUGCAGGGAGGAAGGUUAGAGAAAUGAAAUGAUAUGACCAGAGCUUCUUGUGGCAAGUGGGAGGAGAGACUAGAAGAUGACUGAUGAAGUGAAAAGUAACGAAAUAUUAACAAGCCCAGUAGUGGCAGAGGGAAAGAAAAAAGAGCUGGUAACAGAUCAUAAGUAAAAGACAAAGGAGAGGGUGAUGAUUAGCAGUUGUUCCUGCUCUGUUAUUUGUUAUAUAAAUGUACCAUAAUCCUUCUACCUGCAUUGGUUUAUGAGCUAUGUGAGUGCAGGGAGGGAAAGGUGUAGGGGAAGAGGAAUCACCUUCCCAUGUUGUUGAUACAAUGGCCCCUAUCUGCAGUGCACCACAGUGGACUAACAAUAAAAUAGCUGGCUGACCAGGAAAAGUGGCAGUGAAAAAAGAGUGCUGUUGAGUGGCGGAAUGAUUUGUGUGGAGAAUAGGUUACAAACAUGAAAGAACAGAAGAGGCAGAUAGGCAAGCAUUGCAAUAGUCUAGGAAAGAAAGGGUGAGACCAAAACUUAAUAGUAAAAAUGAGGAGGCAAGUGCAAGCUGGAGAGGUCAAAUCCACCAGACAUUGCAAGCUACAUGAGUAUAAGAGGACACACAGGAAAUCUCCCCAUUGCAAUUCUGCUUCUGCACUACUGGAUGCUUUCAAAAACACAUCCCCAUAGAGCUUUCUGCAAUGAUGGAAAUAUUUUAUAGUUUGAGCUGUCCAACAUAAUAGACACUAGUUAACGUGUGGCUUAUGAGCAUUUCAAAUGUGGCUAGUAUGACUAAGGAAAUGAAUUUUGAAUGUUUAAAUUUUAGUUUCAAUUAAACUUAAGUAGCCACAAGUGGCCGGUGUCUACCAAACUGGAUAACAGUGUAAAAUAUCCUCUUAUCUCUUACUGAUCAAAUUCAAUUACUUCAUCUCAGUAUUUGUCCUGCUUUAAGGUGCUGAAGCUUUUAAAACUUUUUUUCUGCACCUCUCUUUUAAUUCUCUUUAUACGAUCUGAUCACUUACUUUCAGAAUUUUCCACUAGUUUCUCUCACUCUGUCCGUAAUUAAAUAUAGGCAAUCCCUCAGAUUUUGAGUUUGACUCUUUUCUGUUAUUCUAGUCUCUUCCUGUCUGCCCUCCCCAGAGUUAUAAAGAGAUUUGUGAAUCAUUCCCUAAUCUUUAUCUUCAGCCCUGGCUUCUAUUAAAAGAAAAACUUUAGCCAAAUUAAAUUUAAAGGAGUUUAAUUGAGCAAUGAACUUUUGAUUCGUAAAUCGGGCAGCCCCCAGAAUCACAGCAGAUUUGGAGAGACUCCAGCACAGCCAUGUGGUGGAGGAUUUGUAGACAAAAAAAAAAAAAGGAAAUGAUGUACAGAAAUCAGAAGUGAGGUGCAGAAACAGCUGUUAUUGGUUACAGGUUGGUGUUUGCCUUAUUUGAACACUGUUCAAACAAUUGGCUACAUUUGAUUGGCCAAAACUCAGCGAUUGGCACAGGUGUGGGCUAUGGUUGGUUUACUCCUCCACUUGUUCACGAUGUACAGAAAAACCUUUAGGCUGAACUUAAAUAUGUAAGGAGGCAGCUUUAGGCUAAACUUGAUUAACACUUCCCUUUAGAAACCAGAGUGGUUUCUAAAGAAUAUGGGGGCAUUGGAGUAUGACCUGAAAUCAAAACUACAAAACAGCAUUUAUUUUGUUGAGAUUUACGUGAUAAUUAAUAAAACACCAAACAGAGAUUAGCUGUUAAGUGAUUAUUCAUUUAUCUUCUUCUCCUGAGUUACAAGCCUUCAUUUCCCAUUAUCUGCUGCCCAUCCAUGUCUCAAUAUCUCCAGAAAAAGGUGAAUACAUAUACAAUUUUGUGUGACAUCCUUUGUAUACAGACCCUUAUCUUUUCUUGGAAUAUUGCAUAGACCAUUUCUUCUAAGGAAGAUGAUUCCCCAAAAGAUUUUCAGGUACACUGAGACCUUGUUUUAUUUAUUAUGUAACCACAAUGUCUUCCAUAGUCUUGUAAUACUAGAAAUUUAAUAAAUGUUGAGCUGAAAAGGAAUUUUUAUUUGAAGAUAUAAUUCAUCUUCACCUGUGCCAAACACUUUACAUGGUGAUCUAUAAUAAUUUUUCAAAAGUAUGAAAUGCUGACCUGUUUCCUUAGUAAAACCUUAGUCUCAACUUCAUGAGAGGUGAGUCCUCUAUGUGACUAGUAGUGGGG
rnacentral:lncRNA from 1 species